AGAAGUAGGGGCUUCUUUUAGAAGUAGGAAAGGAAGGAAUAGGAUCUCCUGUUCAAUUUUGGGGAGCUGGGAAGGGCUUUCCUAGCCAAGAGGACUGACAAGCACUUCUGCUUUCAUUUCAUGGAACGCCCUUAGGUGAAAUCUGGCUCUGCACUGCACCAACCACCUUCCCCUCUCUCCUCCGCACCGCAGCGCACCUCAGCCUUCUCGCCACCCCGCAGCAAGGGCUGGAGAGAAGGAGCCAGAUAACAGGAUGUGGCCAUGAUGCUUUCUUCUCAGAAUAACAGCUGCUCAAAGUUUGAGGAGAAGCCCAAGGCACUGCUCAAAGUCUGUAUGAACUUCUAAUCACUGGCAAGAGUUUGAGAGGAAGCAUAAGGACCUGUCCUUCCCUGACUCACUUUCAAAUCUUACUUUAUCCCAGAAGUCUCCGCUUGCUCUACGCUGUGGAUGGAAGAAUCAGGAAUCCCUCAAUGUUGAGUGCCAAGGACACCUGCUCUUUCUGAGGUAGAGAUGAAUACUAUUUAAUCCAAACCUGACGCUACUGUGGGCCUGGGAGAGGAAGCAGUAGACCACAGUGCCAGAUCUGGAAGUUCUGAGUCUCUUCUCAUGGAAGAGUGGAUUCCCUCCAGGCACAUCAGCUCCUUUAAACUGGGGAAUGGCUAAGCAAGUUCUUGAAGAAACCUUGGAGAAACCCCGGGACAGAAAAUUUGAGACCUUCUUAAAGUGAAACUGGAGUGGGCACAUGUAGGAUCCACUAAAAUGAUCAGGUUUCUGGCUCAGGUCAUAGGAUGAGCCAGCAUAUGUUGAAAUCUUGGAAUGUUUUUGAGGUAUCCAGUUGGUGAGGUCCAGUACGUAGUAAAAUCUGGCAUUCAGAGCUGACAUAACAGGAAUGAGUUAAGGAGCUAUGGCAUAAUCAUAGCUAGUGUAUUCGUUUGCUAGGACUACUUUAAUAGUAUCACUGGCUGGGUGUCUUAAGCAACAGAAAUUUCUUGUCUAACAAUUCUGGAGGCUAUAAACAAGAUGAUUUCGGAUCAGGUCUUUCUGCUUCUCCUGAAAGGGUCAUCUUCUUGUGUCUUUGCAUGGUCUUUCCUCUGUGUCUGUGUACCAAUCCCCUCCUCUUAUAAGGACACAAGUCAUAUUGUAUUAGUGCCUACUCAAAAAAUCUAAUUUUACCUUAAUUACAUCUUAAAGGCUAUAUCUCCAAAUGCAAUCACAUUCUGAGGACUCAGGGUAAGAACUUCAGCAUAUGAAUUUGAGGGUCAGGGAUAUAACAGAGCCCAAAUAGGUAAUAAUUGACAUGAAGGAAUUAGAUCAGGGUGGUCAAGAAGCCUGUGUACAAUCGGGGAAAAAGGAUGAAAAACAGAGCUUGAAGUGACUCAAACCUUUAAUAGGACUAUUAUUUAACUGAUCAGAAAUGUAAAAAAAAAAAAAAAGUAGAACUAGGAAAAUGUAGCUUUGUAAAGACAAGGUCAGGGCUGUUUCAAGAGGAAUGGAGUUGGGGGUGGGGUGGGAAGUAGCUCAGGUAGAGCACUUGUCUUGCACUUGUGAGGCCCUUAGUUCAAUCCCCAGCAAGGACAAAUGGUCAGCCAGGGUCAAAUUCUGCCAAGAGACCUAGUAGAGGAGACAACCCGGAGAUUGAUCUUUGAAAAGAAGGUAGACACUUUGGCUGAGAGGCAGAAACUAGGACAGCGGCUCCCGAGCAGUGUGGAGAGGUGUGUGGGUUGGGUGCUGUUGGGGAGAAGCCACUGAUGGGUGAGAAAAGGGUUAAGGGUGCAGGAGGGAGAGGAGAACAUUACUGGAGGUGCAGGAAGAGGAAAGAUCUAGAGCUGAGAUACAGAAUUUGCCUCAGGUGUAGAGACACCUCAUCUGUUUGAUUAGGUUGAAGGAGGAAAUGAUGGGAAAACAUGAUUGGAAUGUGAGGAGGGGCAAUGGUGAGGGCGGAGUUUGGGGGCAGAGAGAAGUCAUAGUGAAUGAAGCUAAGGGUUGAAAUAUAAUUUCAUUAAAAGAAAGCAUGAAGAAAUAUAUUUAAAAUAAUUUCUAGCUGGCCAUGGUGGUGUAUGUAAUUUCAGCUACUUGGGAGGCUGAGGUAAGAGGAACCCAAGAGUUCAGGACCAGUCUGGGCAACAGAGGGAGAACCUGUCUCAAAAAUAAAUGAAUAAUGAAUAACUUUUAUGUUGUGAAAUCCAAUAUAACUUUGUCAUUGACACUUUUUAAAUCUGUUUUGUUCAUAAAAUUAAGAUUUUUUUCAAAGAUGAGUUAGUGGAAACAAAACAAAAUGUAAUUGUAUACUGAACCACAGUGCUGCUAUUAUAUUACUGCAUUUCUAAAAAAAUAGAAAGUAUGUAGAGUUCUUCUAUGGAAGCCUUGCUAGACAGUGGAACAAAUUGUCUCUGAUACCUGGAGUUAGCAAAGUUUCAGCGUCUAUAAUAUGCUGUCUUAUCUUGCUAGUAAGCUACCGUUUACUACUGAUAAAGAAAGCAAUGAGCAGGUGGAAAAGACAAGCUUAUGUGCAUACAGAUGGUUCACUACUGUGAACUAUCACAUCAUAGGUUAAUAUGAUUGUAAUCCCAUUCAUAUUAUAGAGCAUAGAUUUUAUGAAUACAUUUAACAGUACUCCUUAAUAUUCUCUUUUUACUCAGUUUAUUGUAUUCAAUUUCUGCUGCCCUUCAGAGCGCAAACUGAACAAACAUCUUCAAUUAUUGCAUUUAUUUAUGUAACAUCUUUAAUUUCCCAUUUUGUAUUUUAAAAUCACAUUAAUAUCCAGGAAGAUGCUUUUUCUCAUUUAAUAUAAUAAUCUUAAGAUACUUAUCUUGAAUGUUAAUGAAAUUAUAAGGUGCAUUAGUGAUAGAGGAUUUCAGUGGAAAUUAAGGUGAUAGAAUAGUCAAAAGCUUUUAUCCCACUUUGCAUUUAUUCACUUAGAUGUGACAACUGUAAGAUACACGUUAAAUACCUCCUUUCCCCAAUAUAUAGGAUGAAUAUGAAGAUAAAUAUCUGCUAGUAGCUAUGGAAGGUAUAACAUAACAAAAUUUAAAGACAUCAUGGUUUACUUAGGAUAAAAUAUUAGAGAUAAUGUAUGAUUACCAAGCAUGAAAAUAUUAGCAGCUUUUAAAUUCCUGAAAAAUUAUACCGAAAUCCUUGAAAGACUUUCAAC